GAUGAAGAACGCAGCGAAAUGCGAUAAGUAGUGUGAAUUGCAGAAUUCCGUGAAUCAUCGAAUCUUUGAACGCACAUUGCGCCCCAUGGUAUUCCGUGGGGCAUGCCUGUUCGAGCGUCAUUUACCCCCUCAAGCUCCGCUUGGUGUUGGGCGUCUGUCCCGCUUCGCGCGCGGACUCGCCCCAAAGGUAUUGGCAGCGGUCGUGCCAGCUUCUCGCGCAGCACAUUGCGCUUCUCGAGGCACCGGUGGGCCCGCGUCCAUCAAGCUCACCCCCCCAGUUUGACCUCGGAUCAGGUAGGGAUACCCGCUGAACUUAAGCAUAUCAAUAAGCGGAGGA
rnacentral:misc_RNA from 1 species